GGCCUUCCAGUUGGUAGAGCAUGGUGUUUGCAACGCCAGGGUUGUGGGUUCGAUUCCCACGGGGGGCCA
rnacentral:tRNA from 1 species